CGCGUGGAUAACCUGCCUCACACUGGGGGAUAACAGUUAGAAAUGACUGCUAAUACCGCAUAAGCGCACAGCACCGCAUGGUACAGUGUGAAAAACUCCGGUGGUGUGAGAUGGAUCCGCGUCUGAUUAGCCAGUUGGCGGGGUAACGGCCCACCAAAGCGACGAUCAGUAGCCGACCUGAGAGGGUGACCGGCCACAUUGGGACUGAGACACGGCCCAG
rnacentral:rRNA from 1 species